rnacentral:rRNA from 1 species
AGUGAACGCUGGCGGCGUGCCUAAUACAUGCAAGUCGAACGAUGAAGUCCUAGCUUGCUAGGAUGGAUUAGUGGCGCACGGGUGAGUAAUAUAUAGUUAAUCUGCCCUACACAGAGGAACAACAGUUGGAAACGACUGCUAAUACCUCAUACUCCUAUUUGACAUAAGUUAAAUAGGGAAAGUCUUUUCGGUGUAGGAUGAGACUAUAUCGUAUCAGCUAGUUGGUAAGGUAAUGGCUUACCAAGGCUAUGACGCGUAACUGGUCUGAGAGGAUGAUCAGUCACAUUGGAACUGAGACACGGUCCAAACUUCUACGGAAGGCAGCAGUAGGGAAUCUUGCACAAUGGGCGAAAGCCUGAUGCAGCAACGCCGCGUGAAGGAUGAAGGCCUUCGGGUUGUAAACUUCUGUUCUAAGGGAAGAAACGAAUGACGGUACCUUAGGAGCAAGCCCCGGCUAACUACGUGCCAGCAGCCGCGGUAAUACGUAGGGGGCAAGCGUUAUCCGGAAUUAUUGGGCGUAAAGAGUGCGUAGGUGGUUACCUAAGCGCAAGGUUUAAUUUAGAGGCUCAACCUCUACUUGCCUUGCGAACUGGGCUACUUGAGUGCAGGAGGGGAAAGCGGAAUUCCUAGUGUAGCGGUGAAAUGCGUAGAUAUUAGGAGGAACACCAGCGGCGAAGGCGGCUUUCUGGACUGUAACUGACACUGAGGCACGAAAGCGUGGGUAGCAAACAGG